AGAGUUUGAUCAUGGCUCAGGAUGAACGCUAGCGGCAGGCUUAAUACAUGCAAGUCGAGGGGCAGCAUGACUGUAGCAAUACAGUUGAUGGCGACCGGCAAACGGGUGCGGAACACGUACAGAACCUUCCUUCGAGCGGGGAAUAGCCCAGAGAAAUUUGGAUUAAUACCCCAUAGUAUAUUGAAGUGGCAUCACUUUAAUAUUAAAGAUUUAUCACUUGAAGAUGGCUGUGCGGCUGAUUAGAUAGUUGGCGGGGUAACGGCCCACCAAGUCUGCGAUCAGUAACUGGUGUGAGAGCACGACCAGUCACACGGGCACUGAGACACGGGCCCGACUCCUACGGGAGGCAGCAGUAAGGAAUAUUGGUCAAUGGACGAAAGUCUGAACCAGCCAUGCCGCGUGGAGGAUGAAGGUCCUCUGGAUUGUAAACUUCUUUUAUAUGGGACGAAAAAAGGCUUUUCUAAGUCGUCUGACGGUACCAUAUGAAUAAGCACCGGCUAACUCCGUGCCAGCAGCCGCGGUAAUACGGAGGGUGCAAGCGUUAUCCGGAUUCACUGGGUUUAAAGGGUGCGUAGGUGGGUUGGUAAGUCAGUGGUGAAAUCUCCGAGCUUAACUUGGAAACUGCCAUUGAUACUAUUAAUCUUGAAUAUUGUGGAGGUUAGCGGAAUAUGUCAUGUAGCGGUGAAAUGCUUAGAUAUGACAUAGAACACCAAUUGCGAAGGCAGCUGGCUACACAUAUAUUGACACUGAGGCACGAAAGCGUGGGGAUCAAACAGGAUUAGAUACCCUGGUAGUCCACGCCCUAAACUAU
rnacentral:rRNA from 1 species